CUAGACCACGCCCCUUCCUUGUUCGCUCGGAAAGAGGACCAAAAUGGAGGAGUAAGAAUCAUGAUUAAAUUGAGCGAGCGCAACUAAUCACGCGAAGAGGGCCGCAGGCGGGCCGUCUUCCGCAAGCGUGCUUCCAGGCCUCCACUCCCCACCUAUUCGGCGGUGCCCUGUUACUUCUGCGCCUGCGCGCUGCUUCCCGCGACCUCACAGGCAGAGCGAACACGCACGGAGUCGCAGGGGCGCGCAAAGGGGGAGGAGCGGGCGGGACCAGGCGCGCGCGCGCGUCUGGAGUGACUAGAGAGCAGGAGCCAACUGGGCCUGGGCCAUUCGGGUGGUUUUAAGAAGUUUGAACUGCGGUUCAAUCCAGGGCAGUGCCUUGAGACACUGUUUGGAGGCCUUGAUUGCUUGCAGAGAAAACUUUCCUGUGGCUUUAUCAUUAGUUGCCCUUCAGAGCUUUCCUGUGUAAAUAAGGAGCUAUGUUUUGGAGAAGUUUACACCGUAGAUGAACGGGAGCGAUCUGAACGUACUGCACUGCAGGUCAACACAGAGCAGGGACUUCAGUAAUUCAUA
rnacentral:sRNA from 1 species